rnacentral:rRNA from 1 species
GACAGAGGGUGCAAGCGUUAUCCGGAAUGAUUGGGCGUAAAGCGUCUGUAGGUGGCUUGUUAAGUCCGCCGUCAAAUCCCAGGGCUCAACCCUGGACAUGCGGUGGAAACUGCCAAGCUGGAGUACGGUAGGGGCAGAGGGAAUUUCCGGUGGAGCGGUGAAAUGCGUAGAGAUCGGAAAGAACACCAACGGCGAAAGCAGUCUGCUGGGCCGACACUGACACUGAGAGACGAAAGCUAGGGGAGCGAAUGGG